AUUUAAAUAAUUUAAUAAAAAUAUUGAUUUGGGGAGUCAAAAAUAUGGGGUAAAAUCCUUUUAAAUU
rnacentral:tRNA from 1 species